rnacentral:rRNA from 1 species
UACGUAGGCAGCGAGCGUUGUUCGGAAUUACUGGGCGUAAAGAGUGUGUAGGCGGUGCUCUAAGUUCGGUGUGAAAUCUCCUGGCUUAACUGGGAGGGUGCGCCGGAAACUGGAGUGCUCGAACGUGGGAGAGGAAAGCGGAAUUCCUGGUGUAGCGGUGAAAUGCGUAGAUAUCUGGAGGAACACCGGUGGCGAAGGCGGCGAUCCUGGACCGGCAUUGACGCUGAGGCGCGAAAGCCAGGGGAGCAAACGGG